GCCAACUUUCUUCGAGGUUGGAGUGACCGCCUGGGUCCGAUACUUCGUCUUGGCAUUUCCUUGCGUCAAGAUUAUGAGGUUCUUCAAAAGCUUCUUGUUCGCGGGAAGAUACGUCACUACCUACAGUAUCAGCACGGUUUCUAACAAAGAGAUAUAAACAAGAUAAGCUCCGGAGGGUCUCUGAAUGUCCAUCGGCAAUUGACUUCGCGACCCUAACAACUGGCACGCAGCGACGGAAAAAUUGCACCGGCUGCUUUUAAUUUCUUAUCAUCUUCGCCGAAUCACAUCCCAAGUGGCGGUUUUCCUUGCAGGUUUUGCUUGACCGGUGGAGGCGCCGUCACUCAGAUAAUGUACGCCACAAAAAUAUGCCCCUUUUCUGUUCGAGUCAUCGACUCCGAACUCACCAACUGCGACGCCACAGCAUCUUUCGAUCGAAACAGAGCCCCCCAUGCAAAUGCCUGUAUUGCCUGAAGCGAUCGACUACUCUUUUUCAUAGCGGAACAGGGUGAUCCAUGAUAAGAUUGACGCAUACGCAUGUGCGUCGUCGCUUGUAACGUUUUAUAUUUCCAUGCCCGAGAUCGCCAGUAUCACUUCCCGUCGUCGCUGCCUCACCGACUGCAGUCCCACAUCCUCUCUUCAUUCAAUCCAGUGGACGCUGCUAAGACGAAAACUAACAAGUAUUCACUGUCAAGAACAACUGCGACUGUGACUAGAAAUCAUUAUCUUAUCGGAGUUGUGUCGCCAAAUUGAAAGUAUUGGUUCGUUUUCCGUCUGCUCCCAUUCUGAAACCCAUAGUCGAGCUACAACAGGACUUCCAGGUUGUGUAGUAACUGAAGUGAUUCUUCUCUGUACCAUCGUUUGUACGGGUAACCUGGUGGACCCUGAACACCG
rnacentral:lncRNA from 1 species